UACGGAGGGUGCAAGCGUUAUCCGGAUUUACUGGGUUUAAAGGGUGCGCAGGCGGAUAUGUAAGUCAGUGGUGAAAUCUCCGGGCUUAACCCGGAAAUUGCCGUUGAUACUAUAUAUCUUGAAUGCUGUGGAGGUAAGCGGAAUAUGUCAUGUAGCGGUGAAAUGCUUAGAGAUGACAUAGAACACCUAUUGCGAAGGCAGCUUACUACGCAGAUAUUGACGCUCAUGCACGAAAGCGUGGGGGAUCAAACAGGA
rnacentral:rRNA from 1 species